UGACACAAAACCGAGCGCAAUGGCGUUCUAGGAUUCAUAUAGCCGACCCUACUUAGUGGGAAAAGGCUUUGUUGUUGUUGUUGUUGUUGUUGUAGUGAUCGUUUAAUCAUGAUGUCACUUAGUAUGACAGUCUAGUAGUAUUUCUCUUCACUUAUAAAUAAGAAGUUUUAGAUUUAAUUUUCGUCAAAAACGAAUUUGAACCAAGUUAUUAUGACUAGUUCAUUGUGAAGUUUAGCUUGCUCCACCACCCUCAUAAUGUAAAUACUAUUGUAUGUAGUAACAAAAAAAAUCAUAUUGAUGAUUGUUCAUUUAUUUUGAUAUGGACAACUAAACCACCUUCAAUUUGAUUUUUUUUCUUCUGUAGGUAUGAUUGUCAAAUGGUGAUUAUAAAAUAAAUGGUUUUGAUUGUUACAUGCGUAUUGUAUUAAUUAAUUAACUACAAAUAGGUGAAUAAGGAGUGCCUUCGAAUCAAAACCUAAGUAUUUCACAUUUUAAUGAAUAAUAUUGUCUUGUUUUGUAGCAUCACAUGUGACAACCCGUCCCAAAUUUUACGAUUUUAUAAAUUUUGAGUGUCGUUAUUCAUUAUUCUAUUCAUUUAUUAUGGUUAUUGUUAUUUUUACUAAGGGAGGAGUUAGAAAGAAUGAGGGGAAAAUAAAAAGAAGAAAAGAAAAGAGGAUGGCUGCCUGAUGGUAGCGAAGUGGAGAGGGAGAGAAAGGGAUGGGCAAUGCCCAAUCAGGAAAUGAGGAAAGUGAGAGUGAGUCAGUGACAAAUGGAAGAGAAGAACUAGGAGGGAAAUGAGGGAGGUGUGGAGCACCCAACCCAGCCGACUCGUGCACCCAAAACAAAACUGGUUUCGACCCCGUUCCAAUUUCGGCUAAAUCCCACCACUUCUCCGACGAAAGUCACCCAUUCUUCACCUUGAAAUUAUCCCUUGACCUCCCCUCUUCCAUUUCCACCCAAAAUUAGAAGGAAUUUGGUUGAAGUUUGGUGGAAAAACCACCAUG
rnacentral:lncRNA from 1 species